GUCCACGCCGUAAACGAUGAAUGCCAGCCGUUAGUGGGUUUACUCACUAGUGGCGCAGCUAACGCUUUAAGCAUUCCGCCUGCGGAGUACGGUCGCAAGAUUAAAACUCAAAGGAAUUGACGGGGGCCCCGCACAAGCGGUGGAGCAUGUGGUUUAAUUCGACGCAACGCGCAGAACCUUACCAGCCCUUGACAUCCCGGUCGCGGACUCCAGAGAUGGAGUCCUUCAGUUCGGCUGGACCGGAGACAGGUGCUGCAUGGCUGUCGU
rnacentral:rRNA from 1 species